rnacentral:rRNA from 1 species
AGCGAACGCUGGCGGCAGGCCUAACACAUGCAAGUCGAACGAAGUCUUCGGACUUAGUGGCGGACGGGUGAGUAACACGUGGGAACGUGCCUUUAGGUUCGGAAUAACUCAGGGAAACUUGUGCUAAUACCGAAUGUGCCCUUCGGGGGAAAGAUUUAUCGCCUUUAGAGCGGCCCGCGUCUGAUUAGCUAGUUGGUGAGGUAAAGGCUCACCAAGGCGACGAUCAGUAGCUGGUCUGAGAGGAUGAUCAGCCACAUUGGGACUGAGACACGGCCCAAACCCCUACGGGAGGCAGCAGUGGGGAAUCUUGCGCAAUGGGCGAAAGCCUGACGCAGCCAUGCCGCGUGAAUGAUGAAGGUCCUAGGAUCGUAAAAUUCUUUCACCGGGGACGAUAAUGACGGUACCCGGAGAAGAAGCCCCGGCUAACUUCGUGCCAGCAGCCGCGGUAA